rnacentral:rRNA from 1 species
ACGCGCGGAACCUUACCAGGUCUUGACAUCCCGGUGACCACUAUGGAGACAUAGUUUCCCCUUCGGGGGCAACGGUGACAGGUGGUGCAUGGUUGUCGUCAGCUCGUGUCGUGAGAUGUUGGGUUAAGUCCCGCAACGAGCGCAACCCUUAUUCUUAGUUGCCAUCAUUCAGUUGGGCACUCUAAGGAGACUGCCGGUGAUAAACCGGAGGAAGGUGGGGAUGACGUCAAAUCAUCAUGCCCCUUAUGACCUGGGCUACACACGUGCUACAAUGGACGGUACAAACGGUUGCCAACCCGCGAGGGGGAGCUAAUCCGAUAAAACCGUUCUCAGUUCGGAUUGUAGGCUGCAACUCGCCUACAUGAAGCCGGAAUCGCUAGUAAUCGCGGAUCAGCAUGCCGCGGUGAAUACGUUCCCGGGCCUUGCACACACCGCCCGU